UACGUAGGGUGCAAGCGUUAAUCGGAAUUACUGGGCGUAAAGCGUGCGCAGGCGGUUUUGUAAGCCAGAUGUGAAAUCCCCGGGCUUAACCUGGGAAUGGCAUUUGGGACUGCAAGGCUGGAGUGCGGCAGAGGAGACUGGAAUUCCUGGUGUAGCAGUGAAAUGCGUAGAUAUCAGGAGGAAUACCGAUGGCGAAGGCAGGUCUCUGGGCUGACACUGACGCUCAUGCACGAAAGCGUGGGGAGCAA
rnacentral:rRNA from 1 species